rnacentral:rRNA from 1 species
UACGGGGGGGGCAAGCGUUGUUCGGAAUUACUGGGCGUAAAGCGUGCGCAGGCGGUUUUGCAAGACAGAUGUGAAAUCCCCGGGCUCAACCUGGGAAUGGCAUUGGUGACUGCACGGCUAGAGUGUGUCAGAGGGGGGUAGAAUUCCACGUGUAGCAGUGAAAUGCGUAGAGAUGUGGAGGAAUACCGAUGGCGAAGGCAGCCCACUGGGAUAACACUGACGAUCAUGCAAGAAAGCGUGGGGAGCAAACAGG